CCUCACUGCCUUUCUGGCCACAAGCAGCCCAGAGGCACCUUCGGAUGCACUAGCCAUGGUCUCCUCCAGGUAGCUGGGCUCUCGUCCCUUCCACCUCCCACGGGCCUCCUGCCCUCCGGCAGCCUGCCUUCCCCUCUGGGAUUCAGCCUCCUCUUCUUGGGGGAAGGAAGAUGUGCCCUUGACCCCACGUGAACCUCUCCUGGAGCCUCAGGAAGGAGCUGUCACCCUACUCAUCUCUUACCCCCUUGGAGAGAGCGUGGGGCAGCCCGUGGCUUCAGAGUCAGAUAUUCUUGCUUGACCCACAAUUCUGG